GGAGGAAUACCCAAGUCUGGCUGAAGGGAUCGGUCUUGAAAACCGACAGGCGGGACCGACAGGCGGGUCAUACCGCGCGGGGGUUCGAAUCCCUCUUCCUCCG
rnacentral:tRNA from 1 species